GGGGCCGUAGGCUAGCUUGGCCUAGACUGCGAGGCUUGGGCCCUCGUGACCCCGGUUCAAAAGGGGAUUUAAACCUCCUGAAAUUCCGGGCGGCCCCA
rnacentral:tRNA from 1 species